GCUGUCUGUUGCAGCUUGCUGUUUCCCAGAAUGAGAAUAAAUGAGUGGCACGAGGGAAAGGCAUUUAAGGCUAACAUGACAAACUUUAUGCACUUGUUGUUCCACAACAUAAAAAAUAUCCAAUUGGCCACUUGUAAGGAAAAAAAAUGAACUAUGAAGAGGAAAAGGAAAGACAUCACCAUUUUCAUGGCCCUCCUAUGGGCCUCUGUGCUGGAGUCUCUAGAGCCCAAGGAACUGAGCUUCAAAUUUCUAGUAUGUCUCACCAAGGACAGAAAUAAAAAAAGCAAGGAGGUCAGGAACAGAGAAAAGGGGAUAAAACUGGUCAAGCUGAGAAGAGUUUUUAAAAUAGAGAGUUUAUCAUAGAGAGUUUUACUUUCAUCUAAAUAUAAAGUCAGAUUACUUUUAUCUAUUAUAUUGAGUGAGAUAUCAAUAAAUAUUUCUAGCACUAAACUGUCAAAAAUCAGUAAGAACAAAGACAAUAUAAGAAGCAUAACAAUCAUUCCGUUCAUCCUCCACCUCAGCCAGAGGAAAAGGGAGUGGGGGAAGUGGGCUAUCUUAAAGAAAUAGAAAAUGCUUAGGCAGGUGGCAAGCCAGGUUGUCAAGUGAUUAGUCAUGUGCCAAAGCAUAAUAACAGUUUUUCCUAGUCUAUAUGUGGUAUAUAAAUGUGAAGCAAGUCCCACUAGAAAUGAAUCAAACAGUAUCACCAACAGUUGUCCAAUUGUGGAGAUAGCCAAGCAGGUGAGGAUGAAGUCAGCUGAGAAGACCUUUUGGUUCUUGAUCCCUUCAGAGCAGUUUACCAGUCCAAUGAACACAUUCCCCAGCAUGCUGAUGAUGAAUUCUGCUAUUGCCAGA
rnacentral:lncRNA from 1 species